GGAGCCAAUGCAAUGCCUCGGUAUGCCGAACGUCUGCUCCGUUAAAGAGAGGCACACGUAGAUCGCUGGUGAAAAGAGACGCGACCAACGCACAUAGGCUUCUCCGCCGGUGUACUGAGCGGCCCGGCUAGCGUCUGACUGACAGCAGAUCAAAGCCUGAUGAUCGAUGCACUGCGUGGCGCCGCCAUCUAUCAAAUCACCACCAGACACCGUGGGACGGCAAGCGACAGAGGAAUCAAUGGGGAAGUGAGGAAGACAACGUUUCUGUUUUCUAAGAACAGAUGGGAAAGGGGAGAGGGGCUGAGAGAGAGAGAGAGAGCGAAACCACAGUGUUUUUGCAGCUCAGGGAAGAUGAAGGAGAAGAACUACAGAGCUCUUGCAGGAUGUUCGGGGGUUUAAUGGAGGUUUUCACUCCCUUUAUUAAAAGGUUACCUUGGGCAGAAAGGGUACUUGUGUGAGCUCAACCGAAACAACGCAACUAGACAAUGGCCGCUAAUUAGGCCUGACAGACAGGAGGGAACCAUGAAAGGAGCUAUUGACCAAGGUCAUGUCAUAUGAACACACUUUGCAGAGAGAUGAAUGAUAAUGAGUCUUUUCCCCUAACCGGGCGCUUUAAAUUCAUCCAUAAUCAUGAACUUUGUGGUGGUUUACAGCCGUCGUUAAUUUUUUUUGUGGUCGUCGUUCCAUGUUGCACAGCGAGCAGUGCAGCAGCGUUGUGGGUGGUUUUCGGUCACGGGAAACAUUUACGCCAGGACGUGACCCUGUUGGGACACCGUGGAGGACGCAGGUAUUCUGGUGAAACACCUGUUGAAACAGUUAGCCGCAAUGUGACCACUGAGGCGGAGGCAACAUCUAAGUGUGAAAUUGCACAUAAACCUGCCACAUGCGCUGUUCAUCCCCCUACCUCCUCACAGCUGGAGGAAUCAUUGAUGGAGGUGGAACAAAAUGUCACAGUGCAAACAUUUGCCAAACAUAGCUGGAACUCCUCUGCUUCGUGGAGACAACUGUAUGAAGAAAUGGGACUGCGGCAUCCUUCUUCUUCACUCUUUGCACAAAGGACACGUCACAGCUGUGCCAGUUGGCAUACUCUCUGUUCUGCACUGUGCACUUCGGUCCUAUCGUGCGCGGGACGACAAAAACAGGUGACAGAAAAAAAAAGAAGAGUUGUUGGGUAAUCGACGGCUAAAAGUGAUGGCAAAGCAAAGCGUUAAAGACAGAGAGGCGUCAUCAACGAAUAGAUCACCUGUGAAUACACCGAGAUGGACGAGUGUGUGGAUGCUGUGUACGAUUGAGACGGGAGUUUACAGAACACAUACUUCACCGGCCCAAAAUGCAUUGCAGGUGACCUCAAGGUGCAGUUAGAUCCGGAAAAGA